AUGAUACCCUUUAGCUUCACAGUGACAAGUCAUUUUCUCAUUACUUUGGCUCUUUCAUUUUCCAUUUUUAUAGGCAUUACGAUCGUUGGAUUUCAAAGACAUGGGCUUCAUUUUUUUAGCUUCUUAUUACCUGCGGGAGUCCCACUGCCGUUAGCACCUUUCUUAGUACUCCUUGAGCUAAUCUCUUAUUGUUUUCGUGCAUUAAGCUUAGGAAUACGUUUAUUUGCUAAUAUGAUGGCCGGUCAUAGUUUAGUAAAGAUUUUAAGUGGGUUUGCUUAG
rnacentral:rRNA from 1 species